GGAGGGCGGGGAGCGGCGCGGCGGUGGCUGGCGGGGCUGGGCUGGGCGAGCACUGCGCGCCGGCGGCUGUGACGGGGCAGAGCGCACGACGCUGCCGCCGCCUACGCGCGAGCCGCUACAACCUCCGACCGUCGUCGCCGCCGGCACAGGAGGGGGGCCAAGACGUCUCUCCAACGCGGGGCGAGCGCAGGACCGCGCCAGGCGUCCAAAAGAAGGAAGAUGCCUCGCGGCGACAGGGAAAGCGACUGGAGGGAAAAGGAGCAGUUCCGCAAACUGUUUAUUGGCGGUUUAAGCUUUGAAACCACAGAAGAAAGUUUGCGGAGUUACUAUGAGCAAUGGGGAAAGCUUACAGACUGUGUGGUAAUGAGGGAUCCCGCAAGCAAAAGAUCAAGGGGGUUUGGUUUUGUAACAUUCUCUUCUAUGGCUGAAGUUGAUGCAGCUAUGGCUGCAAGACCUCACACAAUUGAUGGAAGGGUGGUUGAGCCUAAAAGAGCUGUGGCUAGAGAGGAAUCUGGAAAACCUGGUGCUCAUGUUACUGUGAAAAAAUUAUUUGUUGGUGGGAUUAAAGAGGACACUGAAGAGCACCACCUUCGCGACUACUUUGAGGAAUAUGGAAAAAUCGACACUAUUGAAAUCAUUACUGACAGACAGUCUGGUAAAAAGAGAGGAUUUGGAUUUGUUACAUUUGAUGACCAUGAUCCUGUGGAUAAAAUUGUAUUGCAGAAGUACCACACCAUCAAUGGCCAUAAUGCAGAAGUAAGGAAAGCUCUCUCUAGACAGGAAAUGCAGGAGGUUCAAAACUCUAGGAGUGGGAGAGGAGGGAACUUCGGUUUUGGUGAUGCUCGUGGAGGUGGCGGCAACUUUGGUCCAGGACCUGGCAGCAAUUUCAGAGGGGGAGCUGGUAAGACAGAUGGAUAUGGAAGUGGCCGUGGAUUUGGUGAUGGAUACAACGGAUAUGGCGGAGGACCUGGAGGUGGCAACUUUGGUGGCAGUCCUGGUUAUGGAGGAGGAAGAGGAGGCUAUGGUGGAGGAGGACCUGGAUAUGGCAACCAGGGUGGGGGCUAUGGAGGUGGUUAUGACAACUAUGGAGGAGGCAAUUACGGAAGUGGAAACUAUAAUGAUUUUGGCAACUACAACCAACAACCUUCAAAUUAUGGUCCGAUGAAGAGUGGAAAUUUUGGUGGCAGCAGGAACAUGGGGGGACCAUAUGGUGGAGGAAACUAUGGUCCAGGGGGCAGUGGAGGAAGUGGUGGAUAUGGAGGGAGGAGCCGUUACUGAGUUUCUUCAAGCAUGCCAUGGGCUUCACUGUAUAAAUAGGAGAGGAUGAGAGCCCAGAGCUAUGAUAUGAACCCUGGACAAGCAUAGACUGCUGCCACUGUACACUGCUACAGUUGAACAAAUGAGACCUGCAAGUGUCCAUUAGUAAAGCUUUGCAAGGGUUCCAUCCUUGGUGUUGGUAGUUAAAAUGGUAGGUCACAAGUUAAUUAAAUCAUACAACUUUAUUUUUGCAUCCUGCAACAUUUUCUUUUUUCUUGGGAGUCUAUGCAUUAUGGUGGUUGCAAGGUAAUGCAAUGAAGGUAGUUCUGUGCUGUUGAAAAUGAACUAUGUUGUUACGUGUCUUGUCUGCUGUAAUCUAUUCUAUAUAACGCAUUUCAUCCUGAAGGUUCCCAAGUAACUGUAGACUGUUUACGUGUAAGGAAAAAUUGCACCACAGAAUACAUCUGCCUCUGUGAAGGAAUGUGUCGUCCAUUCUUUUAACAACUGCAUAAGCAGUUCUUUAGGAGGGGAAGUGAAACCUUCAAAUGAAACUGCAGGUGGUAUUUCAUAAGCGUACAAUGUAUUUCAGUAAAUUGGAAUUUGGCUAGAAUGUUGAGGUUUCCACCAUUUUUUAUAGUUCUUGCAGCUAACAAACCUUAGUGCCAAAUUUAUUCAGCCUUACUCUCACUUCAUUGAAUGUUUGCACCUCAAAUUGAUGGAAAUUUAUCAAGUAAUGAAUUAAUUACUCAGAGUAAGGGUGGCAUACUCUACUAGAUUCGGUUUUAAAAUAAAAAUCAACAAAACCUACCAAAAAGAAGGCAACCAAAAAUGCCUUAAUUUCAAAGUUCAUUGCCUCUAAAAGGCUACCUAUUGAAGAACGUGGACUCAGCUAACAAAAGUCCUGUUCCUUUUGUGUUAGACACACCAGUGAACUGCUUAUACUUUUUUUUUUAAAAAUGGCUGAAGUUCCCCUAUUGGUAAUUUGGUUUAGACAUAUGUGAUAAACAUCUUCAGAUACACUUUUUUUUUCUUUGGCAGGAAGGUGCCAUGCUGCAGGUAACUAAUGAAGAAGUGGUCAACCACAGAAACGCUUCAAGAAAUAAGAAAUUCUGUAUCAUCAGAAAAUAGUUGUUUUUGCUGCCUUCAUUAAAAAUCUAGAGGUUAAAUGAAUACUGAUAAAACAUCACAAUUAGUACAGCUCCCUGUAAUGAUGGGUUUUUUAAAUUAUAGUAAAAAUGUCUUGUAAACCUUUCGAAUAAAAUUCAGAUUCGUUAGGAGAAACAAAUCACUAAUGUUAAAAGAGCAAACAUUCUGUGAGUAGAAAGUUUAACUACAUAUAUUUAUAACUUUCAUAGCUUUAAAAUAAAGUAUUUUUAUACCAAAAUAGUUCUAGUGUAAUGCUUAAUAAAAACUUAGCGUGUAUCUAACAUUAAAUAAUGUUUAUGUUUAGACCCUUUCAUGAUUUGAAACAUUCCAUUUUGAGGUGAAUUUAAAACAGAAUCAGUUUGACAAGUGUGUUCAUGGAACUUGUUUCUCUGACCAUGGGCAUCUGUUCUCUUUUGGGAGAAACAGUGCUGCAAAUUUGAAGUGCUGAUGUCUUUGCUGUUGGACACAAGUGCUUAAAAGUAGCUUUUUUUUUGGCUGUGUUUUACAUUAUCUCAUACUUUCUGGUUAAUGAAACUACAACCUAAGUCAGUUUAUCAGAUUGCAGUAGGACAAGAGCUUUAUCCUUUUCACUUUCAAAGAGCUUUUAGCAUGAAGACAGACAAACUGACUAGAAUGUAGAGUUCCUGCUGUACAAAACUGUAUUACCCAUAGCUGCAUCUGGGCAUGGAAGAAAAAUACCAAAACAAAAAAUGCCAAACCAAACAAAACCACUAAAACAAACACCAAGUGUGAGCUUGGGAAAGCUUCAGAUGGGAGUGUAUUUAAGGGAAGGUAUCUUGAGGUUAUACUGUUUUAACCACUUCAUGCAUGGUUUAUUCAAAACUUGAAAUUUAUAUGCUUUGGCAGAAUGAUUGUGUCUUUAACCUUUAUAAUGCUGUUUAAAGAUUCACAUACAAUUUUCUUCUGUUUCUUAAGUUAAGCUUUGAAAUACUUACAUAGGUAACCGGUGGGCUGCAAUGGAAACAGAAAAUGAAGACGCACAAAUCUACUUUACUUUCUUCUUUCCAACAGAAUGACCAGAUCAUGAGGAAUUUGCCUUCUUUCCUGUAACUUAGAUGUAGUUGAUGGAAGUUUUUUCUUUACAGUUUCCAAGUCCACAUUCAUACACCAUUUUAAAAAACUGACAAAACCACUUCAAAGGGCUGUAAUUAUUUUUUUUUUUUUGUUUAAAGUACUAUUUCUGUAGUUCAGCAACAGGGUUUCAAGUUUACUUGAAUUGAGUAUGUUUUCUAUGAGGAUGUUCUCAUUUUAAUCUGUUGGCAGUGGGGGAAGGGAGCGUAUAAGGGGGACAGCACUGUGCAAGGAUGAAGUUACACUGGAUAUUUAAAGUCUUGAAAACCUUGUGUAUCUAAGUUUCCUGAUGUCCUACUAUUGAACUUUCAUGACUUUUCUCUUGGUAUGGUCUUAAAAGUUAAGGCACGUGACAGUCAACAGAUAUUUACUAGUGAAUGCGGUGAGAGAAGUCACAGUUUUGAAUCAACCUGAUACUGAAAGUGAGCAACUUUAAAAGCACUAUCUUGCGGUCAGUUACUGGUCAUCAAUUUGUAGACAAUGGAUUCUUACUUUAUAUCGAGUUGGAUUUUUUCACUACAGGCUUUGUUCUCGUGCAAGUGUAACAUCACAGUGUUUCCAGGUACUAACAGCUGAGGCUCAGGUUGUCAGUACUAGGUCCAGCUUUCCCCCAGCGAACACUUUGUGCAGCAAACGGAGGGAAAAAAGGAAAACAACGUAACUUGUUGGUAACUGGUAUGUGAGCCAAAGAACACCCAAAAGUUGGGUAUGACUUGUAUUUGUAAAGCGAUGGUGAAAAGAGGUCAGUAGUAGGGUUCUGGCCACUCACACUUUGUGUCAUUUACAAUGAAAGUUGAAUUUUAUUCACUUCUGUUGUGCUAAAAAACAUUCAAGAAAAUGUGAACAAUUGCUGUAAAUACCGUAAAAUGAACAGGACUUGAUAUCCGUUAUGUGUAGGAAAGACUGUAAUCUUUCAGUUUGAUGAUGAAUGUACUUGAUCUCUUGGUGAUGAAGUCCUAUCACUUCUGGGGAAGAAAACCCAAGCGCCAGAAAUGGAUCUGAAUUUUCAAGCAUUUGUCAGCUGAGUUUGUUCUGGCAGCUUUACCUCAUUGGUAGAGGAUAAUUUGCUGGGAACAUAGUGGGGCUGUACAUUCCCUGUAGGUUUAAUGUUUCAGUUGGUUUUUGAAGCAGUGUGUGUGAUGCAAGUGAAACCCCAUAUAGUGCUGUUAUUUCUUUUCCACCUAUGAGAGGUGGCUGUUGCUCUUCAGCCAUGUUUAUUCAACCAUACUACUCAGUGUGUCUAGGAAUGUAUAGAAGUGUUUAUGGAAGGGUUUGCCUGGGUAAUAAUGAUCCAUUUUGCCAGAAGUACUGUCCCUUUUAACAGUCAUGUUUUGCUUUGCAGCUGCUUUCGGUUUGUGUUGCAUAGAAAUUUUGUCAGGAGUUACUCCAGGUAAUGGGGCAAUAACUGGUUUGUUUAUCAGCAAUAAAGUUAACAGUGGAUAAACAGCUGUAUGACUUGCCUGACAGAGUGCUAUGAACAUACUAGGUCAACAGUGUUGGGGCACCUCGUAGUCACAAGCUUGUGUGACCUCCCAUGUUUCUUCACUGUACGGAAAAGGGUGACUGGGGGAAGGUCCUAGAAAAUUGCUGUUACCAGCACUCUUCCCUCUCCCGUUUGGUUUAUUUUGGGGCAUUUUUGUAUGAAAAGGGGUGGCUGAUGGACUUCAUGGAGUUCUAGUAGCUCUAGUUCAUGUUUCAAGUUGCAGUACUUUAUGAGGUACACUACACUAAACAGACUCUUCACCUGGUUAUAUCUGCCAUCUCUAUCUGGUUUACUUAAUAAAGUUUUUCACUAUGUCCUG